AGAGUUUGAUCAUGGCUCAGGACGAACGCUGGCGGCGUGCUUAAUACAUGCAAGUCGAACGAGGUCCAUUCGGUGGCAACACCGGAGAAGACCUAGUGGCGAACGGGUGAGUACCACGUGAGCAACCUGCCCCGAAGACUGGGAUAACACCGGGAAACCGGUGCUAAUACCGGAUACCCCCAUCGGAUCGCAUGAUCUGG
rnacentral:rRNA from 1 species